ACCUUCAAGAGACACAGAGAAAGAAAAGAGGCAGAGUGAAGAGCUGCCUCGUUCGGAAAUGGGCCUACAGACACUUCCCACUUUGGAAGCCUCGGCAAUCAUUCUCUCGCUCAGUCUCUUCUCGUUCUUUCCCUGCCCACUCUGGCUUGGCUGCCAAGUCAGAGUUGGCACAGCUUCCCAGGCAGCGCGGAACAAAGCCGUCUCCCAUCCCUGAACAGGCAACUGACAGAAAGCAAAGUGACAGGCGCAUCUUCUGCAUGUUAAUCCUAACAGAGAAGGGAUUCUGACAAGAGAAAUUCACCCUACCCCAAAAAUUAAAAAAAUAUAUAUAAAGAGAAAGAAAAGCCUCAAUCAACCCUGUUUGAAAGAAUCCUUUAAAAUACAGCUGGCUGAAAUAUGGAUGUGGAAGGGGGGAGGUAAGAGAAGAGAAUUUACCCACCAGCACCCUGGAAAACAAGGCAGCUUUGCAUCUGUUGUACCUGUUCCCGUUGCCUUCCUUUUUGCUUCUUGGAAUUGUGACAAGAGAGAAAAGUCGCCUCUGGUGGGUUGCUCAAAGCUGCGGGUCUGCAGCCCAGUGCAGGAAGUUGGCACCGAUCCCAGCUUGUAAAAGUUUGAGCUGUGUGACACUCCACCCGGCCUCCUUUGGCAGCCUGACAAGAACUGCUUUGGUGUAUCAAAGAGAACAGGCAGCUUUUAAGGAAGAAACUCAAUUCAGAGAGAUUAAAGAAUUAUAAUGUUUUAAUCAAGGGAGAGCAAGAGGAUGAGGGGGAGGCUUUCCCUUACAUCUGGAUCAACAUAAGUGGCCCUCUAAAGGCUGCUGUAGCAAUGGAGAAUUAAAAGAGGGGUUUUUUUUAGGGGGAGGAGAAGACAGAUGAAGUCAGAAGCAGAAAUCCAGCUUUAACAUCCCUUCUUCCCCCUCCCUCUGCCACAAUGUGAACUUCCCGGGCUGCUGCAUGAAGGAUAUGAAGAGACGCCAUGAUGGUAGAGGCCUUUGUAUUCUCCUGCAGAAACCUACGGCACACUGAAAAAAUACAAACGGGCUUUCCAGCCCCGGAGAUGGGUUGUUUCCAAUGGCAUUUCAAACUCUCGCUCAUCAUGAUCACAUCCUGUUGCAGGCAGUGAGGAGAAACUCAGAUGCUUCCUCUUUUUUAAAAUCUAUAAUAGAACAGCUCCAUGUUCUUUCUGACCCAGCAGACUCCCAAUUUUAUAAAUAAGGGAAAAGGCAUUUGUUUAUAAGGUGCCUUUUAUUCUUGUGACAAACAAGUAGUUUCACCUUCCCACUCCUUCCCACUCUUGCUUUUUGUCUCUUGAAACUUAUCCAAAUGGCUUAGAGUAGAUUUCAUCCACAGCUAAAAAGAAAGCAAUUAAGCCAAGGAGGAAAUUGAAGGCACUUCAUUCAAAAGGGGUCCUUCCAAUGCUUGAGAAAUGGCUGCCGUUGCGGCCCGUAAUCCUCCAGAACCAUGCAGUGCCUCUAGAGGAAGAAGCUGCUAGACUAAACAGACUCUACUUCAACCAUCUGUAAAAUAGGAUAUUUUUUACCCUCUACUUGCUGAAUCGGGGUAAUUUAAAAUGUGAAACAACUUGGGUACACUAAUGAAUAUAUAUUUACCAGGAAAAAAAGGAAUUAUGAACUGUCUCGCGUAACCCCCACUGUGCAAACUGUUACCCACAUAUUCUGCUCACUUAUAUUAUAAUUUUUCAAGGCAAAUUUUAUUGUGUCGGAACUCCACAAGGCCCAGCGUUGCAAGGUAUCAUAGCAGUCAUGCUAAAAAUGGUCAAGAAUAGAAUUUUUCAACUGGUAAUUGAUUUGGUUUCUUAGCGCAUCAGUAAGUUACACAGACACAGAACAGGAGUUCAUUACACCUUUUCCUGACUGAUAGGUAGAGUAACAAAAUGUUGCUAUUUUUAAGGAGGGGGGAGGUUGAGGGAAUGAAGUGCUAAUGAGUACUAAUUAACACUUCAAGUUUUUAUAUCAGUCUUCAGAGGAAAAAAAACAGAGCUCUAGAGAUUAACAUUUAUUACUGGUCAUUGCACACAUAUUCUUUCUUUAUUAUAACACCAUGGUUUUGGUAAAAUUAUUUUCAAAUAUUUUUGUUUAAAAUAGAUACCACCAGCAUGGCUCAUGUUAUUGGAAUAUACAUCUGAAAGAAACACCACUGAGUCUAUGUUGUAAAACUUGAGGAAACAAUGGAAUUGCUUUUUGAAGGAUAUAUUUAUUGUCAUCAUCAUCCACCUAUUUAAGUAUGCCAAAGGAUAGAUUUAUAUCCUCCUGUUAAAAUACUUCUACAGUAAAAGAAAAGUGAAAUUUGUCUUAGAAUGGAAGCUGUUUGAAACCAAUUUCAUAUGUACUGUACUUUGGCUUCUGUGAAUUGAGUGAAAGUGUUUGUAUUAGCAAAACUGAACUAAGGGAUUUCCAGUUUAGUUUAACUCUAUUGUAUUUAUAUACUCAGCCAGCUGCUGAUGUUGCUACUGUGUUUGUUUCAGAAUUAAUGGACCAAAUAAAGUUCAUUUAGUUGAACUCUGUUUUGGUUUGACAAAACAAGUGCUAUGAAUAAAAAAAUGGUUUUGUUUUUAUUA